UACGUAGGUGGCUAGCGUUGUCCGGAAUCAUUGGGCGUAAAGCGCGUGUAGGCGGUCCGGUAAGUCCGCUGUGAAAGUCGGGGGCUCAACCCUCGAAUGCCGGUGGAUACUGUCGGGCUAGAGUGCGGAAGAGGCGAGUGGAAUUCCUGGUGUAGCGGUGAAAUGCGCAGAUAUCAGGAGGAACACCAAUUGCGAAGGCAGCUCGCUGGGACGUAACUGACGCUGAGACGCGAAAGCGUGGGGAGCAAACAGG
rnacentral:rRNA from 1 species